AGAGAGAGAGAGAGAGAGAAUUAUGGCCUUUGAGAAAGCUCGAUUUUCUGACAAUAAAAAAUAUUAAAAAUACAAUCAAUUUUUAUAGAAUCAUGCCUAAAGAAUAAGGAUGCUAACUCCUUGAAAUACUUGUUACUCCCGUUUUCUAUAUAUUCACUAAUUCCCCAUUAUUAUUAACCCCCAACCUUAAAAUUCUCAAGAAUUUAAUGGCUCUUCAACUGACCAUCAAAAUUUGUUUUACUUUUCGCCCAAAUUUAUUAAUUAUGUGAUUCUAAAUGUUUAAAUUACUUUUUAUACCACCAUAAUUGUUUGGACCAUCAUGUUCAUUUCAUGCGAAAUCAACAAAACUCAAAUGAUAACUGAAAAGGAGGAAAACUUAAAAAGAGAGAAGAAGAAGGAGGAGGAGGA
rnacentral:misc_RNA from 1 species